CCCGAUUCUUCUCCCCUCUCACUGCGACGCCGAGCCAUCGCCGAACCCAUCCUCUCCUCUUCUCACUGCCGCCUUCUUCCUCCCACAUCUCCUCGUUCUUCGUUCGAGCCAUCCCACACAAGGACGACAUCGAGCAAGGGGAAGGGGCCCUAGAUCCAGCCAUUGAUCUACUUUAUCGCCACCAUCCCCAUGCCCUAGCCAUUAUCUCGGCCGCAUUUUCUCCUCCUCUUCUCGCGUCGCCACCUGAUCGCUUGUCACCAGUCGAGCGCCACCCGACCUCCCCUCUCCUGGUCGCGGACACCAGGAGCUCACCGGAAGAUCGAGCAUACAAGUCGUGCCCUAGUUUCCUGGUGCCGCCCCUCUUUAGCGUCGCUGACCAUAGAGCUCCGACGCCGACAGCUGCGAGCUUGAUCGCCGACGCCGAGCUACCUUGGCCCUCUGCCCUAGCUUGGUUUCACCGAUUCUUCUUUUUCUCUCGGUUUCCUCAGCUAUCACAGUGUCACCACAGCGUCAGUAGCUUGUUGCUGACUCUGCCAAUUCAGAACACUUGCUAGCUGCUGAAGAGGAAGAGGAUUUGUUUGAGACGGCAUUACGACUUGGGAUCUAUCAGAUACAACAUUAUUUUGAGGGGGGUACCUCUAACUUAUCUCCUUGAUAUGGUCAUUUUUAAUGUGCAUAGUAGUUUAUAGCUAAUAGAAAUGAUUAUCUUUACUUCUACUUUGGUAUGUCACUUCUUGAUUCUUGUAGUAUGCCUAUAUUCCUAUCUGUUAUGCAUUCAUACUUAUAUUCUCUUGUUUGUUGCCAUGUUUACUCCUGUUCAUAGAAAUAGUGGCAUACAUUGUCCUACUGUGUAGUAGUCUAGUUAUUUGAUAUGUCUGACUUGUGUACCUAGUUUAUUGUUACCUAGAUCAUUGUAUGAAUUUAUUUCCUUUUUGGUACAUUUUAUAUGGAGGGGUAUACUAUCAGUAUCUACAUGUUUAGCGGCAUACACCAUCUUGCAUGAUUACAUGCUAAGUGAUUGUCGACUCCAUUAUUGUUGACCACAUCACCAGUUACAUGAUCUGCACACACAACCACUCAUGGGUUAGUGGUACAUCAGGUAGGGUGUGUGCAGUUUGCUCUAUUAGGGCUCCGUUGGUCCGCUCAUGGGCAUCGAUGACUGCAGCGUGUUGCGGGAAGAGAUCCCUCCCCUUGACCAGGAUACAGGGGGAUGAGAGCUUAGGCUCCCCCACUAUGUUUGGGGUAGGAGGAUAGGUGUACUCCGACGACAUCCUAUCCACUCGGUCACUCCGGAGCAGUGAUGGCAGAGUGUACAGUUGUCAUAGCCCUACCGACUCAGUCUCACCAUCACGUGUGAGAUGGCUAACUGACGUCAGGGGUGACCAUAUCAUUUUUGCAUCAUAUGCAUGGAUUGCAUUUAUUGUUUAUGCUUGCUGCAUUAUGUAAGUUGCAUUUUUGUGGUUGAAUAUGAUUGACAUGCAUACAGGUGACAUUUUGUAUCUGAUCUGACGAUCCUUAUUUUCGGAUAGGAGGUUCUGGUUGAAGCUAUUAGGAGAUUCCAGUUGCUAGUCCCCUUGUCACAAGAGUUUACAUAUUGGUCUUUUGGUAUUCUAUUUAUUUACUUAGAGCUGUGUUUCAGACUUGUAUUGGUUUUGCACCCUGGAUUUGUAUGGUUUUUCUUAAGGCAUUGUAAUGGUUGGUCUUUUGCUUGCUUGGUGGGUUUCUAUUU